ACCAAGGAAAUUCACAAAGCGCCUAGCAAAAGCAAAGUUCCCGAAGCACUCUUGCAAUCCACUGAGUUCUGUUUGUUGAGACGCAUAGAGCUAGCUGCUAGCGACGACAAUGUCGCUCGUGAGGCGCAGCAACGUGUUCGACCCCUUCUCGAUGGACCUCUGGGACCCCUUCGACACCAUGUUCCGCUCCAUCGUCCCGUCGGCGACCUCCACCAACUCCGAGACUGCCGCCUUCGCCAGCGCCCGCAUCGACUGGAAGGAGACGCCCGGGGCGCACGUGUUCAAGGCCGACCCCCCGGCGUCAAGAAGGAGGAGGUCAAGGUCGAGGUCGAAGACGGCAACGUGCUGGUCAUCAGCGGCCAGCGCAGCAGGGAGAAGGAGGACAAGGACGACAAGUGGCACCGCGUCGAGCGCAGCAGUGGCCAGUUCGUCAGGCGCUUCCGCCUGCCGGAGAACGCCAAGGUGGAUCAGGUGAAGGCUGGCCUUGAGAAUGGCGUGCUCACGGUCACCGUGCCCAAGGCGGAGGAGAAGAAGCCUGAGGUGAAGGCUAUUGAGAUAUCUGGUUGAGCAUCCAAUCCAAUAUGGACGUGGAAGGAAGGUGUACUGCUGCUGGUCCGUGGCUGUCGCUGUCUUGUGUGAUGUUUCCUGUGUCUUCUACGAUAUAUAACGUACUUCCGUUUGUUUCGUUUCGUAUGUACAAUCUUCCGGGUAUCGUUCAUGUAUCCCUUUGAAUAAUAACAAAUAAAAUCGGGUU